GACGAACGCUGGCGGCGUGCCUAAUACAUGCAAGUAGAACGCUGAAGGAGGAGCUUGCUUCUCUGGAUGAGUUGCGAACGGGUGAGUAACGCGUAGGUAACCUGCCUGGUAGCGGGGGAUAACUAUUGGAAACGAUAGCUAAUACCGCAUAAGAGUAGAUGUCGCAUGACAUUUGCUUAAAAGGUGCAAUUGCAUCACUACCAGAUGGACCUGCGUUGUAUUAGCUAGUUGGUGAGGUAACGGCUCACCAAGGCAACGAUACAUAGCCGACCUGAGAGGGUGAUCGGCCGCACUGGGACUGAGACACGGCCCAGACUCCUACGGGAGGCAGCAGUAGGGAAUCUUCGGCAAUGGACGGAAGUCUGACCGAGCAACGCCGCGUGAGUGAAGAAGGUUUUCGGAUCGUAAAGCUCUGUUGUAAGAGAAGAACGAGUGUGAGAGUGGAAAGUUCACACUGUGACGGUAUCUUACCAGAAAGGGACGGCUAACUACGUG
rnacentral:rRNA from 1 species